ACAGAGGAAAUUAAGAGCAUUAUUUAUCAAGAAGUUGAAAGUACGAGGAAGAGAAAGAGUGGAAAAUGAAGCUAUUGUGGUUCUUCUUACGCUUCUUCUGCCUAGCACUUCUGUUUAGUACAUCUUCUCAGCGCAUGAUUGUCAACAGGAGGUCUGCUCUUGCUCCAGAUCCACGAGAAGGCCGCGAUGUAGAUCAACCAAGACCUGGACCUCCAGCACCAGGUGGGAGACCAUCUACACGUCCUUGAACACGAUCAGCUUUAAUUUAUUGCUGGGAUAUUGAAGCUCUUGUAUGGAUAAAAACAGCAGAUCAUGUCAAAUUCAUCUAAUUGUACUUCCCCCCCUUUCUAUGUUAUGACAUGGUUUUUUUUUCUUUUUUUAUCUUCUUAAUUCCUUAAUUAUUUUUAUCUUCUCAAUUCAGAGUAUAGUGGAAAUUUCAAGGAUUAUUUAUCUGCUAUCUUAGUGGUUUGGUUCUGCGCAAUUCUCAAUAUUGUGCUCCUAGGUUUCUUAUGCAUUGGCUCUGCAUCUGUAGCCUAGUUGCUAUUCAGUUUUUUGUAUAGUUUUCUCCUUUUUUCUGGGUUUCUAGCCCUUUUCUUUUCCUGUUCUA